rnacentral:lncRNA from 1 species
UUAAUUGUAUAAAAAAAAUCAAAAUCAUUGUCACCAUUAAUAUGAAUUCCCAUAAUCAAUUGUGUCAUUUUGAAAAAAAAAAACCACAUAAUUCUAUAUAAAAAUUUUGCAUAUAACCAUAGAUAGUUAAAAACAAAUAUAUUUAGAAUAUCCAUAUGCCUUUAACAUAUCAAAACAACACUUCAUUCCAAGUUUCCAUAAUAUACUUUGCCCCAUGUGGUUAAGCUUAAGUCAAAUGCUUCCAACUGAAACCACCAAUCUGAAUCGAAUGAGACUUGAUGUUUCAAGAUACAAUAGAUGUAAAUAACAAUGUUAGAAUCACUACGUGUAGCAUACAAAAGAAGAAUAAAUUCAAAGGGAAUUAGAUAGUAGGAAUUGAAACAAAUGAUUGAAUUCCCUAACACAUGAUUCAGUGGUGGAACUACAGCAAUUAGUAUUUGCUAAUUUCAUAUUUACAAUCAUACUAGUAUGAUAUAAUACAAAAAAGAAAAAUAUGAAAGUACAUCACAUCUUUAAAAGAAAAUCACAGACCUUGUCAUCUCAACCACCGUCCAUUUUCGUGAAGUGAAUAUGAAACCAAUGAGUUAUGAAAAAAAACAGGUCUUGCUGUUCUCAACCACCAUCCAUGUCUAAAUUAAUUUCAUCUUGAUAAGAAAAUAUCACUUAAUUCCAUAUUUAUAGAUCCAAUUAAAAUUAAUUUCAUGUUUACAAGAGAAUCUUACAUAGGCAUAUCAACAAACAUUUGAUAUGCAUUUAAAAUGCAAAGUUUUCAUAUGAAUCACUUUAAUGCAAAUGAACUGAAACUUAUUAAAGUUUGAUAACAAGAAAUAAAGAAACAAAGCAAAACAUGACCAUCAUGAUUCAACAGAAAGAAAGAAAUUAAUUGUUAAGGUUACUACAGGGACACAUAGUCGAUCAUCCAAUAUUAUUAUUCAAUUUAUUAAUGAAGUAGACUGAUUUAAGGAGUAGAUAAAUAAGACAAGUAUCAAAUGAGGAAUAUAAAGGUUCGAUCUUAGGAAGAAGAAGAGAGAUACGUGAAGAAGAUAAAGGUGUGAUUUGAGAGGGAAGCCUUACCAGUCCGCUUGCAGUGGUAUAAUUUUAACAUUGAAGACAUUAUCCUUGAGGGUUUUGAAGUCGAGGUAGUCCUAUAUGGUGAAGUAAGGUGGGAGAGAGAUUUGAGUGACACAAAUAGCACGAAACUAGAUAGUAGAGAAGUGGCAAUCCGCCUCUUGACACCUAUUGUACUUUUCUGAGAGUUGAGAUAGACGAGAUCCAAAAUCGAUUAGGUGGUGAAAGCUUACCGACCAGUGAGAGGGAUAAACUGGGUAGUGAGAGAGACACAUGAUCGAGAGUAGAGGUGUUGAUAUCAGUGAAGGUAGAGACAGCUAUACGAGCCCUACACCUAGUUUGAGGGGGGAAAUAAAUCAGAUUCUACAAGGAUGGGAAUUUAUUUUAAU